AAGUCGUAACAAGGUUUCCGUAGGUGAACCUGCGGAAGGAUCAUUACAGUAUUCUUUUGCCAGCGCUUAAUUGCGCGGCGAAAAACCUUACACACUAUGUUUUUUUAAUUUGAAACUAUUGCUUUGGUCUGGCUUAGAAAUAGGUUGGGCCAAAGGUUUUAUCAAAACUUCAAUAUUUAUUAUUGAAUUGUUAUUUUAAUUUUAUUGUCAAUUUGUUGAUUAAUAUCAAAAAUCUUCAAAACUUUCAACAACGGAUCUCUUGGUUCUC
rnacentral:misc_RNA from 1 species